rnacentral:rRNA from 1 species
AUGAACGCUGGCGGCGUGCCUAAUACAUGCAAGUCGAGCGAACGGACGAGAAGCUUGCUUUUCUGAUGUUAGCGGCGGACGGGUGAGUAACCCGUGGAUAACCUACCUAUAAGACUGGGAUAACUUCGGGAAACCGGAGCUAAUACCGGAUAAUAUUUUGAACCGCAUGGUUCAAAAUUGAAAGACGGUCUUGCUUUCACUUAUAGAUGGAUCCGCGCUGCAUUAGCUAGUUGGUAAGGUAACGGCUUACCAAGGCAACGAUGCAUAGCCGACCUGAGAGGGUGAUCGGCCACACUGGAACUGAGACACGGUCCAGACUCCUACGGGAGGCAGCAGUAGGGAAUCUUCCGCAAUGGGCGAAAGCCUGACGGAGCAACGCCGCGUGAGUGAUGAAGGUCUUCGGAUCGUAAAACUCUGUUAUUAGGGAAGAACAUAUGUGUAAGUAACUGUGCACAUCUUGACGGUACCUAAUCAGAAAGCCACGGCUAACUACGUG